rnacentral:rRNA from 1 species
GAAGAAACAACAUAGAUAGUUAAAAUAAAAUACUGAUAGAAGUUUCUUCAUCACGCGUUUAUAAAGUGCCAACACAUAACAACAAGAAGAAUUAGAGUAUUGAGUGCCAAAGAAAUCUUAGCGGCGGACGGGUGAGUAACACGUGGGCAACCUGCCUUAGAGUGGGGGAUAACACCGGGAAAUCGGUGCUAAUACCGCAUAACAUACACAAACUGCAUGGUAAGUGUAUCAAAGGAGCAAUCCGCUUUAAGAUGGGCCCGCGGCUGAUUAGCUAGUUGGUAAGGUAACGGCUUACCAAGGCGACGAUCAGUAGCCGACCUGAGAGGGUGACCGGCCACACUGGAACUGAGACACGGUCCAGACUCCUACGGGAGGCAGCAGUGGGGAAUAUUGCGCAAUGGGGGGAACCCUGACGCAGCAACGCCGCGUGGAGGAAGAAGGUCUUCGGAUUGUAAACUCCUGUCUUCUGGGACGAAGUAUGACGGUACCAGAGGAGGAAGCCACGGCUAACUACGUG